rnacentral:rRNA from 1 species
CAUACCUAUUCGAAGGGAUAGGGUCGGUUUGGCCGGAUUUCACACAGGUGUUGCAUGGCUGUCGUCAGCUCGUGUCGUGAGAUGUUGGGUUAAGUCCCGCAACGAGCGCAACCCUCAUCCUUAGUUACCAUCAGGUUAUGCUGGGGACUUUAAGGAAACUGCCAGUGAUAAACUGGAGGAAGGUGGGGAUGAUGUCAAGUCAUCAUGGCCCUUAUGGGGUGGGCUACACACGUGCUACAAUGGUGAUUACAAUGGGCUGCAAGGUCGCAAGGCUGAGCUAAUCCUAAAAAAUCAUCUCAGUUCGGAUUGUUCUCUGCAACUCGAGAGCAUGAAGUUGGAGUCGCUAGUAAUCGUGGAUCAGCAUGCCACGGUGAAUACGUUCUCGGGUCUUGUACACACUGCCCGUCACGCCAUGGGAAUUGGUUUCACUCGAAGCU